GCGGUAGCCUGCGGCGCAUGCCCAGGGGCACGCGGAAGGCGUGCCUGCGGCUCCGCGCGGGGAUCUCUGGGAGCUGUAGUCCCCGCCCCCCGCCCCCGCCAGCGCCCUGGCUCAGGACCGAGGGGAGAGCCCGGUCCCAGAGUGCUUUGGGACUGGGCUUUCUCUGGGUGCCUCUGGGCUGGGCGUGUGGCGCUGGCCUUGCCGGUAAGACGGGAGUGAGGGCCAGGCUGUACCGAACAGCGAUGUGGUGCGGCAAGAGGCGCCUCGGGCUACGCUUCGGCUGCCUGUGCAGCAGCGUCUGGGUCCGCGCACAGGCCCGCCGCCGACGCUGGACCGCCUGCAUCGACCCUUCCAUGGGACUAAAUGAGGAACAGAAAGAGUUUCAAAAAGUGGCUUUUGACUUUGCUGCUCGGGAGAUGGCUCCAAACAUGGCACAGUGGGACCAGAAGGAACUGUUCCCUGUGGAAAUGAUGCGAAAGGCAGCCCAGCUAGGCUUUGGGGGACUCUACAUUCAAACAGAUGUUGGUGGGUCUGGACUAUCACGGCUUGAUACCUCUGUCAUCUUUGAAGCCUUGGCUACAGGCUGUACCAGUACCACAGCCUACAUAAGCAUCCACAACAUGUGUGCCUGGAUAAUUGAUCGCUUUGGAACUGAGGAACAGAGGCACAAAUUUUGCCCACCGCUUUGUGCUAUGGAGAAGUUUGCCUCUUACUGCCUCACUGAACCAGGAAGUGGGAGUGAUGCUGCAUCUCUUUUGACCUCCGCUAAACAACAAGGAGAUCAUUACAUCCUCAAUGGCUCCAAGGCCUUCAUCAGUGGGGGUGGUGAAUCAGACAUCUACGUGGUCAUGUGCCGAACUGGAGGACCAGGCCCCAAAGGCAUCUCCUGCAUAGUUGUUGAGAAAGGAUCCCCUGGCCUCAGCUUUGGCAAGAAGGAGAAAAAGGUGGGAUGGAACUCCCAGCCAACCCGAGCUGUAAUCUUUGAAGACUGUGCUGUCCCUGUGGCCAACAGAAUUGGAAGUGAGGGACAGGGAUUCCUCAUUGCUAUGAAAGGACUGAACGGAGGGCGGAUCAAUGUUGCUUCCUGCUCCCUGGGGGCUGCUCAUGCUUCAGUCAUCCUCACCCGAAACCACCUCAAUGUCCGGAAGCAGUUUGGAGCACCUUUAGCCAGGAGCCAGUACUUGCAAUUCCAAUUGGCAGAUAUGGCAACACGACUGGUGGCUUCAAGGCUGAUUAUCCGUACAGCAGCGGUGGCUCUACAAGAAGAGCGGGAAGAUGCAGUGGCGCUGUGCUCCAUGGCCAAGCUCUUUGCUACAGAGGAAUGUUUUGCUUUUCCAGCAACAUGCAAGAUCGGGACAAGGGUGGGGAGGAAAACCACUUUUACGCCUGUGGGACUGCAUAACUCUGAAAUCAUAAAACUUCUUAGCUCCAACUGUGAUUGAAUAUCUGUAACCAAGCUGUACAAAUGCAUGGAGGCUAUGGCUACCUGAAAGAUUAUGCUGUUCAGCAGUUCAUGCGGGACUCCAGGGUCCACCAAAUUCUAGAAGGUACCAAUGAAGUGAUGAGGAUGCUGAUCUCUCGACAACUGCUUCAGGAGUAGCACCCAUGCUUAAUAUGUGGGCUCUUGGGUUCCAGAUGGAUCUUGGAUUGGAGUGAAGGGCUGAGCUCUUCCAAGAUAGGCGGCAGAGCUGUACUGUGUUUGUGCCAAUAUCAGUUCUCAGAUUGUAACAAAGUUCUCAGUGUAACUGGAAGAGGUGUCCUGAUUAGAAAUGUCACAAGACAUACCACCUUAUUUUCCUAAUGCUGGAAAAACAGCCAGUGACUAUUCAGAACCAAAGUCUUGUCUUGGACCUUCAUUGUCUUGAUUUGUCUAUUCACUGGAUUCCUCUGGGGGCUUGGGUACUUCCACUGAGACUUUUCCCAGUUAUAGAGCAAAGGCAAGGGGAAAGAGAAUACCCACCUGUCUUGCUGUUCUCUGUACACAGCAUCAGUAUCUCUGGAUUUCACACCUCUGGAUAUAGAUCAUAAUAAAAUGAGUAUUUGGGAAAAGUCCUAAGCUGUGAUUUAGGGUAUAACUCUGCUUCUGGACUACACAAAUAUCAAGGGCUAAGAUUAUUUGGAAAUUUUUGAAUAUUUGAUGCUACCUUUUCUUUUUGAGAAGCUGAUGGUCUAAGAAUGGUAAUCAAGGUUUCUGUAACCCUUCUUGAGAAGUACUUAAAGUAUAUUUUCUGAACUUGUUUCCUUUUUUAUAGUUGCUUCUCUUUUUAAAUAUUUUUGAUCACUACAUUAAUAAAUGAAAUCUACCCCUUUCUGUACUGUC